rnacentral:misc_RNA from 1 species
GAUGAAGAACGUAGCGAAAUGCGAUAAGUAAUGUGAAUUGCAGAAUUCAGUGAAUCAUCGAAUCUUUCAACGCACAUUGCGCCCGCCAGUAUUCUGGCGGGCAUGCCUGUCUGAGCGUCAUUUCAACCCUCAUGCCCCUAGGGCGUGGUGUUGGGGAUCGGCCAAAGCCCGCGAGGGACGGCCGGCCCCUAAAUCUAGUGGCGGACCCGUCGUGGCCUCCUCUGCGAAGUAGUGAUAUUCCGCAUCGGAGAGCGAUGAGCCCCUGCCGUUAAACCCCCAACUUUCCAAGGUUGACCUCAGAUCAGGUAGGAAUACCCGCUGAACUUAAGCAUAUCAAUAAGCGGAGGA